rnacentral:rRNA from 1 species
GACGAACGCUGGCGGCGCGCCUAACACAUGCAAGUCGAACGAGAGAUGAGGAGCUUGCUCUUCAGAUCGAGUGGCGAACGGGUGAGUAACGCGUGAGGAACCUGCCUCAAAGAGGGGGACAACAGUUGGAAACGACUGCUAAUACCGCAUAAGCCCACGGCUCGGCAUCGAGCAGGGGGAAAAGGAGCAAUCCGCUUUGAGAUGGCCUCGCGUCCGAUUAGCUAGUUGGUGAGGUAACGGCCCACCAAGGCGACGAUCAGUAGCCGACCUGAGAGGUUGAACGGCCACAUUGGGACUGAGACACGGCCCAGACUCCUACGGGAGGCAGCAGUGGGGAAUAUUGCACAAUGGGCGCAAGCCUGAUGCAGCAACGCCGCGUGGAGGAAGACGGUUUUCGGAUUGUAAACUCCUGUUCUUAGUGAAGAAUAAUGACGGUAGCUAAGGAGCAAGCCACGGCUAACUACGUG